rnacentral:lncRNA from 1 species
CGAAGGGUAACUUAAACCAGACUAAUGAAAACUUUAUGGUAGAUGUUAGAAAUGUUAAUAUGCCUUUAAACAUUAUUUGCCAUGUGACAAUAUUAGGUAUUUUACUUAUAUUGUCAUUUAAACUUUAACAUAGAAAUGUGAGUUUGCCUUCUUUUUACAGGUGGGAAAACUGAUACAAGGUUAUGGUUGAAGUGACCACUGUGAUUCAAACCUCAUGUGUUUUAAUAUUCCUUUAUAUUACAAUAGGAUACUUUUUUUCUUUAAGCUGAAUAGGUGUUUUGUUGAAGAGCUGCCCUGCCCAUUGGUAGGACAUUUGGAAUUUGGGGCCCUGGGACACUAAGACCCCAACAUUGUGGCAUCUUGAGAAAACCAAUACUUCUCCACAGCCCUCAGCUGAGCACCUCUCUCAUUAUGUUACACUGUAGUUUAUAGAAACACAGUACUAUGAAAAUCUUCCACUCUGUUUCCAUAUGUUCAGGACACAAACCCUAAGUUUUACUGUAAUUUUUGUCUUCCAGUGUUAGAUCUUUCUUGAGUAAAUAGUGUUAGAUUUUUCUCAAGUUAAUUUUUUACUUACUUUGGGAUUGCCUAUCACAGGUUAUGUAAACAUUCGUUUUUAGAUUUUUUGCAUGUUCUCACUUUCCUGGUUUAUUCAAAUAUGAAGGUCUUCAAUCUUUGAUCAACCAUUUCAUAGUAGCUUCAUGAGGAAACUGAGAUGCAAACUGUCAGUGAAAAGCUGAUUUUGGAUUUUGUGAUGGUUUUAAGCAUCUUCGCUCAGGAAUGCCAGAAUUGCUAUACUAAAUGGCAUUCUGGUUAUUGGUC